UUUAUAUUUUACUUUUAAAACUCUAUCUGUCGUAACUCUUUUAAAAUCACUCCAUACAGUACUAGUCCUCUUACGGAAAGAAGAGGCAGAGUUUUGACCUUCGAUAUUGAUUUUAGAAGGAGCAGGAACAGUGUUUCUUUUCCCUUAAAAAUUGGGAGAAUGUCAAAAUAAAUCUCAUCAAAAGAUGUCAUAUCUAAAUAUGAGUUAUACAAAUAAUAAAAAUUAACCAAAAUAUCAAAUGGAGAAAUUGAGUAGAGAUAGACCGGCGG
rnacentral:lncRNA from 1 species